CUGCCAUUCCCUCCAUCUCUCCAUCCACUGCAACUCCUCCCCCUCCAACUCCUCCUCCUCAGAUAAACACUCAACUAGUUCCAUCCUAUUAUCCUCUCUCAUUCUCUCAAUGACUGCAGGUCUUGGGAAGCCCAACGCUGUUAUGCUUGAACUUCUCAGUCUAGAUGGUUCUGCAGGCAGCUAAGAUAUUACUCCAGCAGCAAUAGAAGAAGAGUGGUUUGAACUCUGCAAAGAGCCAUACCAAACCACGGCCCCUACAGGUCUCAAUGACUAUGAUGAGUCCUCAGCAGAUGCAGCAGCUUCUGUCCCCGGGUCAGCUCCAGGCUCUGCUCCAACAGCAGCAGCACACUAUCCUGCUCCAGCAGCUCUCUAGGCAGCAGCUAGUGUUCCAGCAGCUCCUCCAGCAGGAGCUGUUCAAAGUGCAGAGACCAGGCCUGGCCUCCCACACCUUGU